rnacentral:rRNA from 1 species
GACGAACGCUGGCGGCGUGCCUAAUACAUGCAAGUAGAACGCUGAAGAGAGGAGCUCGCUCUUCUUGGAUGAGUUGCGAACGGGUGAGUAACGCGUAGGUAACCUGCCUUGUAGCGGGGGAUAAAUAUUGGAAACGAUAGCUAAUACCGCAUAACAAUGGAUGACACAUGUCAUUUAUUUGAAAGGGGCAAUUGCUCCACUACAAGAGGGACCUGCGUUGUAUUAGCUAGUAGGUGAGGUAAUGGCUCACCUAGGCGACGAUACAUAGCCGACCUGAGAGGGUGAUCUGCCACACUGGGACUGAGACACGGCCCAGACUCCUACGGGAGGCAGCAGUAGGGAAUCUUCGGCAAUGGGGGCAACCCUGACCGAGCAACGCCGCGUGAGUGCAGAAGGUUUUCGGAUCGUAAAGCUCUGUUGUAAGUCAAGAACGGGUGUGAGAGUGGAAAGUUCACACUGUGACGGUAGCCUACCAGAAAGGGACGGCUAACUACGUG